UACGUAGGGGGCAAGCGUUGUCCGGAAUCAUUGGGCGUAAAGCGCGUGUAGGCGGUUCGGUAAGUCUGCUGUGAAAGUCCUGGGCUCAACCCUGGGAUGCCGGUGGAUACUGUCGGACUAGAGUACGGAAGAGGCGAGUGGAAUUCCCGGUGUAGCGGUGAAAUGCGCAGAUAUCGGGAGGAACACCAAUUGCGAAGGCAGCUCGCUGGGACGUCACUGACGCUGAGACGCGAAAGCGUGGGGAGCAAACAGG
rnacentral:rRNA from 1 species